UAGUUUAAUUCGAUGAUACGCGAGGAACCUUACCUGGGCUUAAAUGGGAGUGACAGCCGUCGAAAGAUGGUUUUCUUCGGACACUCUUCAAGGUGCUGCAUGGUUGUCGUCAGCUCGUGCCGUGAGGUGUCGGGUUAAGUCCCAUAACGAGCGCAACCCUUACCGUUAGUUACCAUCAGGUUAAGCUGGGGACUCUAGCGGGACUGCCACCGUAAGGUGAGAGGAAGGUGGGGAUGACGUCAAAUCAGCACGGCCCUUAUGUCCAGGGCUACACACGUGUUACAAUGGCCAGUACAAAGGGCAGCUACCGGGUGACCGGAUGCUAAUCUCUAAAGCUGGUCUCAGUUCGGAUUGGGGUCUGCAACUCGACCCCAUGAAGUCGGAGUCGCUAGUAAUCGCAGAUCAGCAACGCUGCGGUGAAUACGUUCCCGGGCCUU
rnacentral:rRNA from 1 species